rnacentral:rRNA from 1 species
UACGUAGGGUGCGAGCGUUAAUCGGAAUUACUGGGCGUAAAGUGUGCGCAGGUGGCCGCGCAAGUCGAGUGUGAAAUCCCCGAGCUUAACUUGGGAAUUGCGCCCGAAACUACGUGGCUCGAGUGUGGCAGAGGAAGGUGGAAUUCCACGUGUAGCGGUGAAAUGCGUAGAGAUGUGGAGGAACACCGAUGGCGAAGGCAGCCUUCUGGGCCAACACUGACGCUCAUGCACGAAAGCGUGGGGAGCAAACAGG